rnacentral:sRNA from 1 species
UUUAGGAUUUUGCCAGUAGUAUACCAUCUCGUAUUAAUAUCAACCCAAACCCGUCAAUUCUAUGAUUUCACA